GGCCCGGCUGGGUGGUCUGCCGAUUGGUAUGUACUGCUUGGCUGGGUCUUUCCUUCCAGGGAAGUCGUUUGCGCUUUACUGCGUGAGCGAGGGAACUGGAACUUUUACUUUGAAAAAAUUAGAGUGUUUAAAGCAGGCGAAACAGCUUGAAUACAUUAGCAUGGAAUAAUAAAACAGGAC
rnacentral:rRNA from 1 species